AUGUUGUAACAAAUACAAUAAUUCAUCUCUUUCCUACAUUUUUAACUCACUAUCAAUCCAUUUCUAUAAUCCAAGAUGAGGAAAUCCGUUCAACUCUUAUCUACGUUCUUAAUCGUCUUCAUUAUUCUCUCCCUAGGAAUGAUGGCAGAUGCGAAAAAACAGUGUCCAUAUAAAAUUCCAAUUAGUAAAAAAUUGCCGUAUUGUGCUCCAGCACUCUGUUUGGCUGAUUGCAAGAAGCAACAUGGAGCUGAUGCUAGUGGUAGUUGUUCCGAAGAAAAGGGAUUUUGUAACUGCGUUGCUAAUUGCAAGGGUGCUCGCUAAUAUCCAACCAAAUUUUUAUACUAUCUUUUUACCAAUAAAUAUCUAAAUGUUAAAAUGUUUGUCUCAGAUUUGUGGAUCUAUUUAUAAUAAAUCUAUACUAUACUAAAAGCCACAUAUAGUGAGUAAUUAGGCUAUCCACCUCAUCAAAAAUAAUCAACCAAUCAUAACAUUUUAUUUUUGUUUUGGGUUUCAAUACAUCUGGGCUUAGGUGUGUGGGUUUAUUUGGUUUCAUUUGGGCUUUGUUUUUCAUUUACCUAAAUCUAGAAACCUAACAAUCUCAAUACGCGGAAGUUACGAAGCUCUUCUUCUCUACCACUUCGUCUUCUCUCUUAAUUUCACGAGGAGGAGGACACAGAGCCAUUGGCCGAAGACUUUCUCGAUGGUAGCGAUGAUGAAGAGGAACCUUUGGAUUCUGAUUCUGACUCUGAUGGAUCUGAUCUCGCAAUGACAGGAUCUGGUAAAAGUAAAGCUAUUGAUGAAGAACGUAAAAGGCAGGAGCAAGAUGCAAAAGAUGAACUACAUAUGAACAUAAAGGAACAACCUGACGAGUUUCGUCUACCAACCAAAAAGGAACUUGAAGAAGAGUCAAGUGGGCCACCAGAUCUUCCUAUCUUGCAAGUUGCAAACGAGUAUAAAAGAGAGUGAGAAAUUUUUUUUCAAGUUUUGUUUCUUUUAAAGAUUCUUUCUAAGGAACUAGCCUUUGUUUUAUUGCUUGAUAUUAUUUUUAUGUGUUCAGUUAAGGCUGAUAUUGGUUCUUAUUACGGCUAUAAUGAGUUUCUUAAUGGAAUUCUGGUUCAGGUUUUUCGCUAAUCGCUGACUUCACUUUUUAUGUACACUCUUUUGGUUCUUUUUGGUGUAAAGCUAUGUGUGAGCUAAUUUUGUAAAGCCACAUAUAGUGAGCAAUUAGGCUAUGUGUAAAGCUACUUCUCUAAUGUUUAUACAUCAUCAAACUGUACAUUGUAAUUGUAAUUGGAAAAAGAAAACAAACAAAAAUCAACCUAAGACUUUUAAGGUAUAUGAAACAAAAAUUGGAACUAACAAAUUUCUGCAAUCAAAGAAUAAGGCAAUAAAAUUGUAAAAAUACAAAAUAAAA